AAGCAGUAUGUAUUAGUUAUUGUAUUAUUAAAUAGUAUUAAUUAUUUUGGUUAAGAAAAAUUUGAAUAAGAUAUGUCUUUCCAAAAGAAAGACCAAUCAAAAAGUACAAUUCUGGGCUCAAAUAUGUGAAAUGAGCCUAUUUUGACAUCAUGGAAACCAAGAUGAAGCAAAAUCCAUUCUCUCAUCUGCAACUUGAAUGAGAACUGAAAAAUCUCAAAAUUGGAUCUAUAAGAUGUAUUCCUUAUUACUUUACAACAUAUUUUCUAAAAUGAUAUUCAUAAUCUAGAAUCUUUUUAUGAAAUCAAUGUAGUUACUAUAAUUCCAACCUCUUGGCAUGCUUACAUUUUAAUUUUAAAACCAUUCUGAUUGUUGAGUUCCAGUUGAAGUUACUGGAAAUCUGACCAUUAGCCUAUGCAAGGCAGAGAAAUUUAACCUGUGUCUGCUUGAUGAAUAGUGAAAAAUGCAAUGAAUUAUCCGGAUGUUCUCUUUAUUAGAGAACCAGUGGGGGAGGUGGAUUCCCAUCAUAAAAGGCCUAGUUUCUCUUUUAAGUUUUUUAAAAAUAGCAUUCAUGUCUGUGUUUUGGAAAGUCAGAAUCAGAAGGUCCAGUUGGGAGACUGUUUUGAAGAUUGCAUCACAUUCCAGUGGAGCUGAUCAGAUCAGGUGUGCUGCUCAGGAUGGCCGGCCCGGGAGCAGUCACUUUGGUAACUGUGAAAACAUAAAGCCUGAAGGAAAUACGUAUGUUCCAUUUAUGUAAAGAGCCUGAAAACCUUAAAAACAAAAAACAAAAACAACACCACAUACUGGAAGAUUGCAAAAGUUCAAAGUGAAGGUUGGAGCUUUAACUUUCAUUGUAUGUGAACUUGCGGAGGAAGGUAUACCGUAUCCUGAAAGCUUACUGCUUCUUACAUUCUAUUAAGCUUUUGGAAUCUUUUAAUUAACAUUAUAAAGAGAAGAAUGUCUGACGUAUGUGUGUUGCGGUGGUGAGAAAAAAAAGCAAAAGAAGAAAAGGAAGAAAUAUGGUUAAGCCUUUCUCCACUCAUUCCAAAUUAAUUCAUCUGAAGCACAAAAUUUGAAGUAUGAACACUUAGAAAAAAGAUGAUUUGUAGGCCGAUGUUAAAUCCCAAGUAGACUUUAAAAAAAAAAGAUCUAUUUUGUAAUUUGAAAUUCUUUGAUUAAUAAAAAUUUCAUAUAAUUUUAAUCAAUAAAAUCUCAUAGCUCUGCCUCUUGAGUAUGGAGAACUGUGCCAGUAUUUUUAAAGGCACUAAAUCCACCUGUAGAAAUCAGGCUUACCCAAUACCUUAAAAUUUUUUGUCACCAGCCAUUCCAAAACAUGACUACCCCCCACUCCUAAGCAGGGCUGAAAUAGUGAUUGUUGGCUGCCCUAGCCCACUUACUCUGAGACAUAUGUGGUACCAAGAGUAAUCAUGUACCAAUCUGGAUGCCUCAUUAAGUCAACCAAGUCCAGAUGUGCUCUAAUCUGUGCGAAUGUGGGCUCAGUUUGCUUGGCACUUCUAGCAAUGGAAAAGCUGUACUUUAUAGGAGGAAGUAAGGUGGGCUCUUGGAGGUCACCUAGCUUAUUUAAUACAACUAUUUUAUGUUUUAUAAUCUAGUUAAAGGAAGGAUAGCAAAACCAAAAACAAAUUAAAAUAACCAAACUUGGAGGCCACAAUAAUCAGGCUACUGGUUUAAUCAGAAAACCUUAUUUCUUCCAGAGAAAGAAGGUAUUUGCUGGUCACUAUUGUAGUCAGAAUAUCUACUCCAGAUUAUUGUUAAUAGUUCAAGUAUAUCGUUUAUUAAAUACUUCCUUUAUGUAUUGAAGCUUUGACUUUGCAAGAAGAUUGCUUUUUUUCCAAACAAAAAGAUGUCUCAGGUUUGUUUUGUGGGUUAUCUGAAAGCUUUUUUUUUUUCUUUUUUUCCUCUGAAAGCUUUCAUGUCUCAGAACUUAGCCUUCACCUGUGAAAUGCUAUUACGGCCUUAAUAUGUCCUUAUUAGAUCUAUAUUAGAUCAAAUAGUUGCAUAGCAUUUAUAUUAAUUUUAUAUUUUUUAGCUAUGACACACUGUGAUACUCUGGUAGAUGCUUAUAGCUCAAUGAUAAUUUUUUAUUUAAUCUUUUCUUAUUUUUGUAUUUUAUCAUGUGUGCUUUUAAUAUGUACAGAACAACUAUAAUACAUAGUUGUAACUGAAAUACAUUUCAGAGGCACAGCGUUAACAUGUACCUUUUACUGUUUGAUAUACCAGAUUAAAAACAUUUUGUAUCUGUAAUUACCUGUAACCGGACACCUUUACCAAGAUAAUAAAAAUCACUCUUA
rnacentral:lncRNA from 1 species